UACGUAGGUGGCAAGCGUUGUCCGGAUUUAUUGGGUUUAAAGGGUGCGUAGGCGGCUUUUUAAGUCAGUGGUGAAAUACGGCAGCUCAACUGUCGAGGUGCCAUUGAUACUGGGAAACUUGAGUACUGAUGAGGUAGGCGGAAUGGACGGUGUAGCGGUGAAAUGCUUAGAUAUCGUCCAGAACACCGAUAGCGAAGGCAGCUUACUAAGGAGUAACUGACGCUGAGGCACGAAAGUGUGGGGAUCAAACAGG
rnacentral:rRNA from 1 species